rnacentral:rRNA from 1 species
GAUGAACGCUGGCGGCGUGCCUAAUACAUGCAAGUCGAGCGAACAGACGAGGAUCUUGCUCCUCUGACGUUAGCGGCGGACGGGUGAGUAACACGUGGAUAACCUACCUAUAAGACUGGGAUAACUUCGGGAAACCGGAGCUAAUACCGGAUAAUAUAUUGAACCGCAUGGUUCAAUAGUGAAAGACGGUUUUGCUGUCACUUAUAGAUGGAUCCGCGCCGCAUUAGCUAGUUGGUAAGGUAACGGCUUACCAAGGCAACGAUGCGUAGCCGACCUGAGAGGGUGAUCGGCCACACUGGAACUGAGACACGGUCCAGACUCCUACGGGAGGCAGCAGUAGGGAAUCUUCCGCAAUGGGCGAAAGCCUGACGGAGCAACGCCGCGUGAGUGAUGAAGGUCUUCGGAUCGUAAAACUCUGUUAUUAGGGAAGAACAAAUGUGUAAGUAACUAUGCACGUCUUGACGGUACCUAAUCAGAAAGCCACGGCUAACUACGU